rnacentral:lncRNA from 1 species
UGACGCAGCAAAGCGUAAAGAAAUCGUUAAUAAAGUUAAAGAUGCUUGUGAAAGCUGGGGAUUUUUCCAGAUUAUCAAUCAUGAGAUCCCAGUAAGCACCCUAGAUGAAGUAAUUAAAGGCAUAAAAGGGUUUCAUGAACUCGAAACUGAGGUGAAAAUGCCGUAUUAUUCGCGGGAUAAUAAGAAGAAGGUUGGUUUUAAUAGUAAUUUUGAUUUAUACCAAGCACGUUCUGCUAACUGGAGGGACACCAUAUUCUUUGUAAUGGCUCCUGAUCCUCCUGAACCUGAGGAAUUUCCAGAAGUGUGCAGGUAGCUAAUUUUACUACUAUAUCAGCAUCUCAGAUUCGAUUAACUUGGCUUGGCUUGGCUUAUACAAUUUUGUGUAUCUUUCAGGGAUAGCAUGAUGAAAUACUCAGGUGAAGUAAUGAAUCUGGGGCUCACAUUGUUUGAAUUGAUCUCGGAAGCAUUGGGACUCGACCCAAGUUACUUGAGAAACAUGGAGUGUGCUGAGGGGCUAUUCAUAAUUGGCCACUAUUAUCCGGCAUGCCCCGAACCAGAUUU